rnacentral:rRNA from 1 species
AUUGAACGCUGGCGGCAUGCUUUACACAUGCAAGUCGAGCGGCAGCGCGGGGGCAACCCUGGCGGCGAGCGGCGAACGGGUGAGUAACACAUCGGAACGUGUCCUGUGGUGGGGGAUAACCUGGCGAAAGCCAGGCUAAUACCGCAUAAGCUCGGGAGAGGAAAGCGGGGGCUCGCAAGACCUCGCGCGACAGGAGCGGCCGAUGUCCGAUUAGCUAGUUGGUGGGGUAAAGGCCCACCAAGGCGACGAUCGGUAGCUGGUCUGAGAGGAUGAUCAGCCACACUGGGACUGAGACACGGCCCAGACUCCUACGGGAGGCAGCAGUGGGGAAUUUUGGACAAUGGGGGCAACCCUGAUCCAGCCAUGCCGCGUGAGUGAAGAAGGCCUUCGGGUUGUAAAGCUCUUUCGGUGGGAACGAAACGGUGCGCACUAAUACUGCGCAUCAAUGACGGUACUCACAGAAGAAGCACCGGCUAACCACGUGCCAGCCGCCGCAGUAACAC